AAGAAUACAAAACAAAAAUUGAGGUAGAUAUGGAUAAAUAUUGGGGAAGGAAUGGAGGGGGUGGAUACAGGGGAGGAGAACAUUAUGAUGUAGAUAUGGGAGGUUGGUUAGGAAGAGGAACACCUAGAAGACGAGGAAAUGGAGGACCUGGAGGAGAAGGUGGAGGAGGAGGAAACAAAGGAGGUUCAAAAGGAAGUGAAAAUAAAGAACCUGGAGGAGGAGGAGGAGGAGGUGGUGGUUCAAAAGGAAGUGAAAAUAAAGAACCUAGAGAAGGAGGAGGAGGAGGAGUAGUUCCCGAAGGACCUGGAGGAAAAGGUCGGGGAGAAACAAAAGGACCUGGAGGAGAAGGCGGAGGGAUCGAAAAUGGCGAUCAUGUGGAACAUCCAUGAAAACCAGAUAGAUGAAUGUGUGUUUUGUAUCACAUGCACUAUAGAAAGAAAAGCUUGGACUCUACUACUCUAUGACUAGUUUAUAAUUGGGUGAACAUCUUUCCCUGAAAUUGAAUACAUUUCACUAAUAUCUUUAUAUUGUACCAUUUAUAUUAGCACAUUUGAAUGAAAAAGUACCACGGUAUUAUGUCAUUAUUUUCUUCAAUUUUGUGGUUUAAUUUCAAUCGUUAUUCUUUUCAUGUUAUAUAAUUGUAUAGUGAUUAAAUUACUAUGAAAUGAUAAUGAGUAUGUUGAGGCUGUUUUUCAUUAGAAAAUAAA
rnacentral:lncRNA from 1 species